AGAUUGAACGCUGGCGGCAGGCCUAACACAUGCAAGUCGAGCGGCAGCACGGGUACUUGUACCUGGUGGCGAGCGGCGGACGGGUGAGUAAUGCCUAGGAAUCUGCCUGGUAGUGGGGGAUAACGCUCGGAAACGGACGCUAAUACCGCAUACGUCCUACGGGAGAAAGCAGGGGACCUUCGGGCCUUGCGCUAUCAGAUGAGCCUAGGUCGGAUUAGCUAGUUGGUGAGGUAAUGGCUCACCAAGGCGACGAUCCGUAACUGGUCUGAGAGGAUGAUCAGUCACACUGGAACUGAGACACGGUCCAGACUCCUACGGGAGCAGCAGUGGGGAAUCGUUGGA
rnacentral:rRNA from 1 species